rnacentral:rRNA from 1 species
AACUAACGCUGGCGGCGUGCCUAACACAUGCAAGUCGAACGAGAAAGUUGGCUUCGGCCGAUGAGUAAAGUGGCGCACGGGUGAGUAACGCGUGGAUAAUCUGCCCUUUAGUUUGGAAUAACGUACCGAAAGGUGCGCUAAUACCGGAUAAUACUGAAUGACUACUGUCGUUUAGUCAAAGAAGGCUUCUGUUUACAUGCUUUUGCUGAAGGAUGAGUCCGCGUACCAUUAGCUAGUUGGUAGGGUAAUGGCCUACCAAGGCGACGAUGGUUAGCUGGUCUGAGAGGAUGAUCAGCCACACUGGAACUGAGACACGGUCCAGACUCCUACGGGAGGCAGCAGUGAGGAAUAUUGCGCAAUGGGGGCAACCCUGACGCAGCAACGCCGCGUGAGUGAGGAAGGUUUUCGGACCGUAAAGCUCUGUCGAGCGGGAAGAAUGCAUGGUGGCUAAUAUCCAGUCAUGCUUGACGGUACCGCUAAAGGAAGCACCGGGUA